rfam:Deltaproteobacteria bacterium RIFCSPLOWO2_12_FTLL_60_19 rifcsplowo2_12_scaffold_233, whole genome shotgun sequence.
AAAGUCCGGCACGGGGAAUUAUCGGUACACCCCGUUAGCGAAGAUCCGGUUUUGAGAGGCGACUCUCAGGGCUAAGUGGAUCGAGAAAACUUUCUUCGGAAAGGAUUGCGAACCCACAGGCCGUACUAUCAAGGAACCCAUAGAGCCUCGUGACUUGUUCAGUGAGAGUGCCGACCCUGUGGUCAAGUGGGGAAGGCCGCCGCCAUCUGUGGGGCUAACCGGGAAAAGCAGAUGGGCUCUCCGGGGUCGUCGGGAC